UGUGCUCCAAAACCACCUCUGUGUUUAUUACCAAAAAGCUCUAUUCUGGUUUCAUCUGACCGUAGAACCCGAUCCCAUUUGAAGAUCCAGUAGUGUCUGCACACUGAAGACGCUCGAGUCUGUUUUUGGAGUAGAGUAGAAGCUUUUUUCUUGAAACCCUUCCAAACAGCUUGUGGUGAUGUAGGUGACUUCGGAUUGUAGUUUUGGAGACUUUCUGACCCCAAGACGUGACUAACUUCUUCAAUUCUCCAGCUGUGAUCCUUGGAGAUGUUUUGUCCACUCGAACCGUCCUCUUCACAGUGCGUUGAGACGAUACAGACACACGUCCAAUUCCAGGUCGAUUCAUAACACUUCCAGUUGACUGGAGCUUCUUAAUGAUUGCCCUGAUGCUGGAAACGGGAAUUUUCAAUGCUGGUGCUAUUUUCUUAUAGACACGCCCCAUUGUGUGAAGCUCAACCACCUUUUCCCGCACAUCACAGCUAUACUCCUUGGUCUUAUUGUAAUGAAUGAUUAAGGGAAUUUGGUCUACGUCACAUCAUAUUAAUACCCCUGUGAAACAGGAAGACCUAGUUGAACAAUGUCCUGUUCCUAGUCACCCAGGUGUACAAAAUGUUUCUUUAAUAUCAAUGGAAUAUAGUUCAAAUAUAUUUCUCAGAUGAAUUCAUAGGGGUGCCAAAAAUUGUCACACACCUAUAUUUAACAAAGAUAAUAGUUUUGAUAAACCUGUGGUGUUUGAUAUCCACGAGAAGGGAUUAUAUUUGUGAAUUCUUUGAACAAAAUAUCAAAAGAUUAAACAAUAAUGACAAUUUUUCCCCAGCCUUGUGUGCACAUAUUUACCAAGAGUGCCAAUAUUAGUGCAGGGCACUGUAUAUACCAUGUCCAAGCCAAACUGUAAAAUGUUUAGCACUUUUACGUACAGACGUUCUGUCUGUUACUCACACGGACGAGCUGUUUCUCGAAACUUUUCCACCGUCGUCUUGAUGGUUGUCGUUAUCUGCGUCUCGAUUCGAAGACCCUGACCUUAUGUUCACAAAUAUUUACUAGUCUGGAAAAUCCAAAAAGGCUAGUGCGCAAAAAAGACAGUAUGUUUCAGUUGGUUUCAAGGUUACGUGAGCGGAUUUUAAAAUGAAAAACACUAAACAUAUACUCGUAUACUCAGUACCAGUACUCAAAAACCAGUACUCAGUCACUGUGUCGAAUACUAUACUACUAAGUAUGUGAUUUGUGGCACGAUGAUAGUUUUUAUUCGGUAGCGGAUGCAGCGCCACACGGUGCUAUAAUGUCUCCGCUGUUUACGUCGGUAUUGCGAUUACGCAGACCUUCAUUUCCGAGGACGUUCCCAGCCGACUUCUGGACACGUCCGGCAGCCAUUUUGCGUACACACAGUUAAAAUCAAGUAUAAUUCGGCCUUUACAGCCCGAACAUGAAAUUUACUCGUCCUGGCUCCCCAGGUUAGUGAUUUGUCCACCCAUGCUUAAGCACGUUUCAAUCUUUUGUUUUGUUUUCGUCACUGAUACUUAAUAUCAAAUAUAAAGAGACAGUAUUUUUGUUUAAAAUUCAUUUUAAAGGUCAUCUCUUAUCGUUAACAGAUAUACAUUUACAAAAGCUCAGUCAUAAAGCUUACAGUAUUCGCAAACUAGUAGAGUUCAAGAUGUCGGUAUGUCAAUGAUACGACUUUCAUGUUUACCACAAAAGCGUAAAUUCUAAUUAAAAAAUAAGAAUAAUAAUAAGAAUAAUGCCAUUUCACACCAAAACGGUGCUUGAUGUCAUUGCAAGCAAGUCCAAUUCCUGUUACUAACGUUGUGCGGUUUAGGAUGUAUGAUUAAUUUAAACUCCUGUACACUCUGUUACGACAUAGCAGCAUACGUUAUGUGUAUAUGUGUUUCUCCGCUCUGCUGCAUAGAUCUGACCUGAUUGGGAAGAAAUGAGAGAAAUUAGAAAUCACUAUCGAGAUGAUGCAUGACCUGUACGGUUGGCGAUGAAAAGCGAGUCGCAUACGUGCGCUCUCCUGAACAUGGCAUGUCAAUGAAGACGAAAUGAAGUUCUUCUUUUCUCAGCACUUCAUGUGGACUUGUCUUAUUAUAGCCUGUUCUAGUACUUAUUAAUACAUUCCUA
ensembl:lncRNA